rnacentral:rRNA from 17 species
GAAAUGCAUUUAGGUGCAGCGUUGACAUAUAGUUUUAUAGAGGUAGAGCUACUGAUUGGAUGCGGGGGCUUCACCGCCUACCAAUUCCUGACAAACUCCGAAUGCUAUAAAAUGAUGGUCAGCAGUGAGGGCAUGGGUGCUAAGGUCCAUGUCCGAGAGGGAAAGAACCCAGAUCACCAGCUAAGGUCCCCAAGUAUAUACUAAGUUGAUAAAACGCGGUGAGAUUGCAUUGACAGCCAGGAUGUUGGCUUGGAAGCAGCCAUUCAUUUAAAGAGUGCGUAACAGCUCACUGGUCGAGCGAUCUUGCAUGGAUAAUAAUCGGGCAUAAGUAUAUCACCGAAGCUGUGACUUCCAAUUUAUUGGAGGGGUAGGGGAGCAUUGUAGUGCCGCUGAAGGUGUUCCGUAAGGGAUGCUGGAGGAGCUACAAACGAAAAUGUAGGCAUAAGUAACGAUAAUGCGGGCGAGAAACCCGCACGCCGAAAGACCAAGGUUUCCCCAGCUAUGCUAAUCAGCUGGGGGUCAGUCGGGACCUAACGCGAACCCGAAGGGGGUAGUGGAUGGACAACCAGUUAAUAUUCUGGUACCUGCUCACAAUAAAAGUGACGGGGAUGUGGCGUUGGUGCGUACUGACGGAAUAGUACGUUGAAGGGAGCGGUGACGCCCCGAUAGUACACCGAGGCCUCGGCCAAGGUGAUAAUCCAGCAUAACAUCCUCCGAGAAAACCAAGUGAAGCAGCCCGUACCGUAAACCGACACAGGUGGUUGGGAUGAGUAUUCUAAGGCGCUCGAGAGAUUCAUGGUUAAGGAACUAGGCAAAAUAGACCCGUAACUUCGGGAGAAGGGUCGCCCCCCUCUGGGGGGGCCGCAGUGAAGAGGUCCAGGCGACUGUUUAUCAAAAACACAGGUCCAUGCGAAGACGUUAAGUUGAUGUAUAUGGACUGACGCCUGCCCGGUGCUGGAAGGUUAAGAGGAGUGGUUAGCUUCUGCGAAGCUACGAAUCGAAGCC